rnacentral:rRNA from 1 species
CCUACGGGAGGCAGCAGUGGGGAAUAUUGCGCAAUGGGCGAAAGCCUGACGCAGCGACGCCGCGUGCGGGAUGAAGUUCUUCGGAUCGUAAACCUCUGUCAGCAGGGAGGAACGAUCACUGUUCUAAUCAGCAGUGAAUUGACCGCACCAGCAAAGGAAGCACCGGCUAAACCCGUGCCAGCAGCCGCGGUAAUACGGAGGGUGCGAGCGUUGAUCGGAUUUACUGCGCGUAAAGCGCUCGUAGGCGGUAUGUCAAGCCAAGGGUGAAAUCCCGGAGCUCAACGUGGGAACUGCCUUUGAAACUGGCAGACUGGAGUGUGUGAGAGGAUAGCGGAAUUCCAGGUGUAGAGGUGAAAUGCGUAGAUAUCUGGAGGAACAGCAGUGGCGAAGGCGACUAACUGGAACGUAACUGACGCUGAGGAGCGAAAGCGUGGGUAGCAAACAGGAUUAGAUACCCUAGUAGUC